rnacentral:rRNA from 1 species
UACGUAGGGGACGAGCGUUGUCCGGAUUCAUUGGGCGUAAAGCGCGCGUAGGCGGCCGGCCAAGUCGGGUGUGAAAUCCCUCGGCUCAACCGAGGAACUGCACUCGAUACUGGCUGGCUUGAGUCCGGGAGGGGAUGGUGGAAUUCCCAGUGUAGCGGUGAAAUGCGUAGAUAUUGGGAGGAACACCAGUGGCGAAGGCGGCCUUCUGGGCCUGUCCUGACGCUGAGGCGCGAAAGCGUGGGGAGCGAACCGG